rnacentral:rRNA from 1 species
GCGAACGGGGAGCAGCCCAGAGUCUGAAUCAGCUUGUGUGUUAGUGGAACGGUCUGGAAAGUCCGACGGUACAGGGUGAUAGUCCCGUACACCAAAAUGCACAGGCUGUGAACUCGAAGAGUAGGGCGGGACACGUGGUAUCCUGUCUGAAUAUGGGGGGACCAUCCUCCAAGGCUAAAUACUCCUGACUGACCGAUAGUGAACCAGUACCGUGAGGGAAAGGCGAAAAGAACCCCGGCGAGGGGAGUGAAAAAGAACCUGAAACCGUGUACGUACAAGCAGUGGGAGCACCUUCGGGUGUGACUGCGUACCUUUUGUAUAAUGGGUCAGCGACUUAUAUUCUGUAGCAAGGUUAACCGUAUAGGGGAGCCGCAGGGAAACCGAGUCUUAACUGGGCGUUAAGUUGCAGGGUAUAGACCCGAAACCCGGUGAUCUAGCCAUGGGCAGGUUGAAGGUUGGGUAACACUAACUGGAGGACCGAACCGACUAAUGUUGAAAAAUUAGCGGAUGACUUGUGGCUGGGGGUGAAAGGCCAAUCAAACCGGGAGAUAGCUGGUUCUCCCCGAAAGCUAUUUAGGUAGCGCCUCGUGAACUCAUCUUCGGGGGUAGAGCACUGUUUCGGCUAGGGGGUCAUCCCGACUUACCAACCCGAUGCAAACUACGAAUACCGAAGAAUGUUAUCACGGGAGACACACGGCGGGUGCUAACGUCCGUCGUGAAGAGGGAAACAACCCAGACCGCCAGCUAAGGUCCCAAAGUCAUGGUUAAGUGGGAAACGAUGUGGGAAGGCACAGACAGCCAGGAUGUUGGCUUAGAAGCAGCCAUCAUUUAAAGAAAGCGUAAUAGCUCACUGGUCGAGUCGGCCUGCGCGGAAGAUGUAACGGGGCUAAACCAUGCACCGAAGCUGCGGCAGCGACACUAUGUGUUGUUGGGUAGGGGAGCGUUCUGUAAGCCUGCGAAGGUGUGCUGUGAGGCAUGCUGGAGGUAUCAGAAGUGCGAAUGCUGACAUAAGUAACGAUAAAGCGGGUGAAAAGCCCGCUCGCCGGAAGACCAAGGGUUCCUGUCCAACGUUAAUCGGGGCAGGGUGAGUCGACCCCUAAGGCGAGGCCGAAAGGCGUAGUCGAUGGGAAACAGGUUAAUAUUC